rnacentral:tRNA from 1 species
GGGGCUGUAGCUCAGCUGGGAGAGCAUUACAAUGGCAUUGUAGGGGUCGAGGGUUCAAGUCCCUUCAGCUCCACCA